rnacentral:snRNA from 2 species
AGCUUUGCGCAGUGGCAGUAUCGUAGCCAAUGAGGUUUAUCCGAGGCGCGAUUAUUGCUAAUUGUAAUAAAGAGUUGAAUAUUUCAUGUAAUUGAUUGAACUCUGGAAAUGAAAGUGGAAAACAGA